rnacentral:lncRNA from 1 species
GCCCUUUGGGCCCUCUGCCUUCUGCACGGUGGGACCCACCCAACCAACAGGGCAGAACAGGGUACCAGACCUCUUGGAACUGGAGUUGUAAACUGCCAAGUGAAUGCUGGAAAUAGAACCCAGGAAGGGCAGCCAGCCAGUGCUCUUAUCCACUGAGCCAUCUCUUCAGCCCUGAAGAUGAAGAUGUAGAAUUCUCAGCUCUGCUUGCACCAUGCCUGCCUGGAUACUGCCAUGCUCUCACCCUGAUGAUAAUGGACUGAACCUCUGAACCUAGACAGGAAAAGAAGCCACUACCAUGAUACUCUCUAAGGAGGUGACUCACGCUACCAUGUAAAGGUACUCACUUCCAAGCAGCGGUGCAUAUACACGCAAAUAAAUGUCCUUCAAAGGACUCCAUGAAGAACGAACUACCUGAGGACCCAGCAAUACCACUCCUGGGCAUAUACCCAGAAGAUGCUCCAACAUGUAAUAAGGACACAUGCUCCACUAUGUUCAUACCGGCCUUAUUUAUUAUAGCCAGAAGCUGGAGAGAACCCAGAUGUCCCUCAACAGAGAAAUGAAUACAGAAAAUAUGGUACAUUUAUACAAUGGAGUACUACUCAGCUAUUAAAAACAAUGAAUUCAUGAAAUUCUUAGACAAAUGGAUGGAUCUGGAGGAUAUCAUCCUGAGUGAGGUAACUCAAUCACAAAAGAACACACAUGGUAUGCACUCACUGAUAAGUGAAUAUUAGCCCAGAAGCUCAGAAUACCCAAGAUAUAAUUUGCAAAACACAUGAAACUCAAGAAGGAAGACCAAAGUAUGGAUACUUCGAUCCUUCUUAGAAGGGAGAGCAAAAUACCCAUGGAAGGAGUUACAAAGUUUGGAGCAGAGACUGAAAGAAUGACCAUCCAGAGACUGCCUUACCUGGGGAUUCAUCCCAUACACAACCACCAAAACCAGACACUAUUGUGGAUGCCAACAAUAUUUUGCUGACAGGAGCCUGAUAUAGCUGUCUUCUGAGAGGCUCUGCCAGUGCCUGACAAAUACAGAAGUAGAUGCUCAUAGCCAUCCAUUGGACAGAACACAGGGUCCCCAAUGAAGGAGCUAGAGAAAGUAUCCAAGGAGCUGAAGGGAUUUGCAGCCCCAUAGGAGGAACAACAAUAUGAACUAACCAGUACCCUCAGAGCUCCCUGGGACUAAACCACCAAUCAAGAAAACACAUGGUGGGACUCAUGGCCCGAGGAUGGCCUAGUCAGUCAUCAACGGGAGGAGAGGCCCUUGGUCCUCUGAAGGUUCCAUGCCCCAGUAUAGGGGAAUGCCAGGGCCAGGAAACCAGAGUGGGUGGGUUGGUGAGCAGGGGGGGAUGGGUAGGAGGGUUUCGUGGGGAAACCAGGAAAAGGAAUAACAUUUGAAAUGUAAAUAAAGAAAAUAUCUAAUUAAAAAAAAAAGAAAAAGACUUAUUUCAUAA